GCACGGAUGGCCGAGUGGUCUAAGGCGCCAGACUCAAGAUUUCACUUGCCACGGGAAUGCGGUUGACAUUCCAGUACUGGGCAGGGUGCGUGUGCUCAAAUCCCACUCCGUGAA
rnacentral:tRNA from 1 species